CAAGAUUCUAUUCAUCUGCUCAAACCUAAACCCCCAAGGCGCUGGUAUUAGAAGGUGAGGCCUUAGAGCAGGGAUUAGGUCAUGAGGGUAAAGCUCUCAUGAAUAGGAUUAGUGACCUUAUAAAAGAGGCUCCAGGGAGCUGCCUUGCCACUUUCACAUGUGAGGACAUGGUGAGAAGACAGCAAUCUGUGAACCAGACAGCAGGCCCUCACCAGGCACCAAAUCAACUGAUGCCUUGACCUUGGACUUCUCAGCCUCCAGAACUGUGAGCUAUACAUUGCUGUUGUUUAUAAUCACCCAGUCUAUGGCAGUUUUUAUAGCAGCUUGAAAGGACUAAGAGAAUUACUUUUAUCUCUUCCCCCCACCCACAUACAUGCUAAGGAAGGCCUUGUACUGGUUUUAGAGCCCUGGACGGAGCUCCAGGUGACAUGGGCCUUCCUGGUUCUACCACCGACCUGCUGGGGGUUUCAGCAAGCCUUCACCUUCCACGUUGGCGUUCUCAGCUCUAAGAAAAGGAAGUUGAUUUCCAUGAGAGGUGAUCAAACUGUGCUGUAGAAACCUCAGCGAUUCCACAGAACAUUAGAGUACCUCUGCCAAGCAGAAUUCUCCACAUGGAGAAACCUCCCCUCUUACUGAUUUUAUAUGCCAUGCAUGUCAACGCUCUGGGGAAGAUUUUUUGCUUGAGAAAAAAAAAAAAUUCUUGCUGAUUAAAGAAAAACAACCCUGGAAAGUGCUGAAUAUGGUAUCUAUGCAUUUAUUAUGGAAAUCUAGAUAGUUUGCACUGAGAUCAUAGAUGGUUCUCAUAGAAUGGGACUAGGAGGAUUCAAGGAAAGAAGACCUGCUUCCUGUUUCCCAGCCCGUAAACCCUUGCUGUUGUUUUCAAGAUUUUUAUGAUCCUUUCUGGGCUGUGAUGAGAGGGCCUGGCAGGGGAGCCGGCUGCCUCCUUAUCGAAGACUCCCUGCCUCAGUGCCUAGAGCCAGGCUCAGCCCUGGUGAGGAGGGACAAUCCUGGCUGGGUAGGUCAGGCAGCUAAAAGUUGGGGGUCAGGUCCCCUACUUCAGCGGUCCCUAACCUUUUUGGCAUCAGGGAAGACAAAAAUCGGAAGACAAUUUUUCCACAAACUGGAGAUGGAGGGAUGGUUUCGGGAUGACUCAAGCACAUUACAUUUUUGGUGCACUUUAUUUCUAUUAUUAUUACGUUGUAAUAUAUAAUGAAAUAAUGAUCUAACUCACCAUAAUGUAGAAUCAGUGGGAGCCCUGAGCUUGUUUGCCUGCAACUAGAUGGUCCCACCUUCAGGGGAUGAGAGACAGUGAUAGAUCGUCAGGCAUUAGAUUCUCAUAAGGAGCACACAACCAAGAUCUCUUGAAUGAGCAAGGGCUCGCAUGCACAAUGGGGCUCGCACUCCUGUGAGAAUCUAAUGCUGCCGCUGAUCUGACAGGAGGUGAAGCUCAGGCAGUAGUGCCAGCAAUGGGGAGUGGCUGUAAAUACAGAUGAAGCUUUACUGGCCUGCUGCUCACCUUCUGCUGUG
rnacentral:lncRNA from 10 species